GAAAAGCUGCCACAUUACCUAAAGCCCGCUACUUCCCAACCACAAACAUUUGUUAAUUCAGGGCCGGGUCCUCCUCGGGGGUUGCGGGCCGGGAAGCCCCCUCCCCCGCUGCCGGUGUGUCCUCCCCUCCCCCGUCGCGCAGCGAGGGUCAGGCUGGCACCGCAGUUCCAAGUACCACACGGCCGAACCCAGAAGCCAUAUUUAGCUUUAUUUUUGUCAAUAAAACAAACUUCCGUCUUCUAUAGAAAAACGGUUCUAACUCAAUGUCAAACUAGGACGGAAACUCGCAGCUCGCCGCUACUGCCAACCAGAGACGCCGCGUGUCCAACGGCCCCGGGGUCCCAGACCCGAACCCGCGCCGAGCGCGCCGGCGCCCCGGCCCCAGACAGCGCCGGCCACAAAGGGACGGGGGACGCGGCCGCGGUGGGGCCUCCUCCUCCACCCCCGACCCGCGCGAGCGGCAGCGGCUCCGGGACGGCCGGGCCGCGGGCGGACACUCACCUCGCUCGGCGCGCGGCGGCGGCAGCGGCGGCGGCAGGCGCUCCUCGGGGCCGGCCCGGGCGGUCGCGGCGCGGUCCCGCGGGCCGCAGCGCGGGCGCUACUCUCGGGCCGCCGUCCGCCCCGCCGCCUCCUUGGCCUCUGCCGGCGGCUCCCCUGGCGGGCGGGCGGGUCCGGCCCGGGCCCCGCCUCCGCCGCGCUCGCCCCCGCCUCCGCGCCCGGCCUCACGGGCUCGGCGCGCUACUCCGGGCCGCCCCGCAUCCCGCCGCCGCCGCCGCCGCUCGCUCGGGGCUGCUCCGCGCGGCAGGCCCGGGCCGCAGGGCCGCCGCGCAGGCCGCUCGGGCGCGGUCCUCCCUGCGCUGCGUGCUCGGCGGCGGCGGCCCGUGCGGCUGCGCGGGGGAGGCGGGGGCGCCGGCGCUCACCCGGAUGCGCGCCCCGUCCGCUGCGGCGAGCCUACCGCGGGGCCGCUGCGCUCCCAGUGCGCGGCGCCCUUUCCCGGCCGGGCGCCCAGGCCCGGUCCCCACUCCCGGGGCUACCGGCAGGGCCAGGCCAGGCCGAGAGGUGCCCCCGACCCUGGGUCGGGACAAAGAGGCUGCCGCAGCAAGUAAAAGACAACUCGGGCCGUCGCGCGUCAAGCGGGUCGCGGGGCGGGAGAAGAUGAGGAGCCCUCACCACGGAUCGGCCCCAGGGCCGAGCGCGGGGCCUCCCCAACCUGGUGGGGUUGCCCGAGGCGGCCGCAAGCGCGGGAGCUGGAGCGCUUUCAGCCGCGCCGAGCCCGCGCCUGGCGACAGCGAUACAGGAGGCCCGAGACCGAGGGAGGAUGGCGAGAGCGGAGCCCCGCGACCCGCGCCGCCGGGGCAGGCACACGAGUCCCGGGGGGCAGCAACGUCCUGGACCUUGCAGAACCGGGACUGUUUCGGGAAGUGGCUCCCGCCCAGUGCGGGGAGAGGGACCCUUCCUCUGUGCCCCCUUGGGAAACACUGCUCGAUACAAUUCCAAAAACCAGCUCUACCCUGA
rnacentral:lncRNA from 1 species